AUGACCGAUUGGUAUUCGAGCCUGUUUGCAGGUGGGUGCACGGUGAGGCAAAGUGCUAACAACAGAAACGAGCCAAGCUGUGGAGAGCUCAUUUGAAGAGUGUUUUUGAUGACCAUCCAAGGGAGCACAAUCGCAAAGACACCAUGCUUUGCACCAAAAGAUUAUCGGACAUUGCUACGACAACUUGCUGAACUCCAAAAAGAAUAUAGCUUCAUGAAGUUUGGCAAUAGUUCAGGUGAAUAUACAUCGUCCUUCAAGUGCCUUCCAAACCGCACUGUGUCUCAUCUGGAAUGGAUAAGAAGGAAACCCAACAUUGGCAUGAAGAAAAUACUGAACGACUUGAUGAAAUACAAGUGGUCUUUAAACCACAUCAGAUCACAUUUCCAACAACUUCGUUUAUACAGUUCGGUGUCUCAGAACCUUGAAGACCUGAUUAAUUUUCUCCAAACUCUCCAGAAGCACGUGGAGGUCAAUGUCCCUCGAAGACACAGUUGUGUCCCAAGAAACGACAAGGAGAGGCUGGCAUUAUUGAGGAAUUUGCACAUGUAUAUAAUUCAUAUCGCCAGAAUUUUAGUAAGGUUCAAGGGUGGAAGUAUGGGAUGUUAAGUCUGCAUCUAAGUUCACACACACGGAACCGUCCUCUGAACACCCAGCCUUAAAUUUUCAUGUCGUUCAUUGGGACAUCGCAUAAUUAUUGACUUUUUGCAGGAGCUUUGUGCAGCAUCGACAAUCAAACUUGAGGAUCAAUGUGAUGACCUAAAUCCUCUUUGACCGGCACAGUGUUCCGUGCACAUGCUGAGAUUGUCUGAGGAACUAACCCGGCAUUAUUGUACUCUUGCCUCAACUUGAAACUUUUACAUUUUAUAUUUAUUUAAUUAUUUAAUAUGUUAACUUAUCUAUUUAUUUCCUAUUUUUUUUGUUUGAUCAGCG
ensembl:lincRNA